rnacentral:rRNA from 1 species
ACCCGCACAAGCGGUGGAUGAUGUGGAUUAAUUCGAUGCAACGCGAAGAACCUUACCUACCCUUGACAUGUCCGGAACUUGCCAGAGAUGGCUUGGUGCCCGAAAGGGAAUCGGAACACAGGUGCUGCAUGGCUGUCGUCAGCUCGUGUCGUGAGAUGUUGGGUUAAGUCCCGCAACGAGCGCAACCCUUAUCAUUAGUUGCUACGCAAGGGCACUCUAAUGAGACUGCCGGUGACAACCGGAGGAAGGUGGGGAUGACGUCAAGUCCUCAUGGCCCUUAUGGGUAGGGCUUCACACGUCAUACAAUGGUCGGUACAGAGGGUUGCCAAGCCGCGAGGCGGAGCCAAUCCCACAAAGCCGAUCGUAGUCCGGAUCGCAGUCUGCAACUCGACUGCGUGAAGUCGGAAUCGCUAGUAAUCGUGGAUCAGCAUGUCACGGUGAAUACGUUCCCGGGUCUU